rnacentral:rRNA from 1 species
CCAUGCCGCGUGUGUGAAGAAGGCUUCGGGUUGUAAAGCACUUUCAGCGAGGAGGAAGGGUUCAGUGUUAAUAGCACUGUUCAUUGACGUUACUCGCAGAAGAAGCACCGGCUAACUCCGUGCCAGCAGCCGCGGUAAUACGGAGGGUGCAAGCGUUAAUCGGAAUUACUGGGCGUAAAGCGCACGCAGGCGGUUUGUUAAGUCAGAUGUGAAAUCCCCGCGCUUAACGUGGGAACUGCAUUUGAAACUGGCAAGCUAGAGUCUUGUAGAGGGGGGUAGAAUUCCAGGUGUAGCGGUGAAAUGCGUAGAGAUCUGGAGGAAUACCGGUGGCGAAGGCGGCCCCCUGGACAAAGACUGACGCUCAGGUGCGAAAGCGUGGGGACAACAGGAUUAGAUACCUGGUAGUCCACGCUGUAACGAUGUCGACUUGGAGUUGUGCCCUUGAG